AAACCUUCAAGCCCUGCUUGGUGUUGGGCGUUUUUGUCCCCCUAACAAGGGACUCGCCUUAAAAGGAUUGGCAGCCGGCCUACUGGUUUCGCAGCGCAGCACAUUUUUGCGCUUGCAAUCAGCAAAAGAGGACGGCAAUCCAUCAAGACUCCUUCUCAC
rnacentral:misc_RNA from 1 species